CCUACGGGGGGCAGCAGCGAGGAAUCUUCCACAAUGGGCGCAAGCCCGAUGGAGCAACGCCGCGUGGAGGACGACGGCCUUCGGGUUGUAAACUCCUUUCGGGGGGGAUGAGACGGACAGUACCCCCAGAAGCAGCCCCGGCUAACUCAGUGCCAGCAGCCGCGGUAAGACAGAGGGGGCAAGCGUUGUCCGGAUUGACUGGGCGUACAGCGCGCGCAGGCGGUCCUGGACGUGCCCUGUGACAGGCGGAGGCUCAACCUCCGACGGCCAGGGUAGACGCCAGGACUAGAGGCAGGGAGAGGGCAGUGGAAUACCCGGUGGAGCGGUGAAAUGCGUAGAGAUCGGGUGGAACACCAGGGGCGAAGGCGGCUGCCUGGCCCUGACCUGACGCUGAGGCGCGAG
rnacentral:rRNA from 1 species